rnacentral:lncRNA from 1 species
AAUAACGAAGUCCUGGAGUGGUUUGUGUCUCCAUGCCUUCUGUUUUUGCACCCAUGUUACCACUAGACUGAAAGAGAUUGAAGGAAGUUAAAAGUUGUCUUGGUUUGUGUCAGUUGUUGCCUGCAGCAUGUCACCUUGAAGCUGAGGGAUGGUCAGAAUAUUCUGGUCUACUGCUGCCCUGCGCAAAGUGGCAGCGUGCACGGAGGCUGAAAGUCCAAGGCAGCUGCGUCCCCCCACCUGCCAUCGAACCGAGGGAGCCAUUAAUUGAUUGCCUCAUGCUGUGUGCAGGGCUGUACUCAGUUGUCAGUGAGGACAAUUUCACUUAAGUGGGUGCUUUGAAGAUGGUUUUGUUUCUACCAUUGAGCUCCGUCACCACUGUCACCACUGUCACCACUGUCAUUUCUUUCAUUUGUUGGUUUGCUUGUGUGUUCAGCAAAUGCCUAACAUAAAGAUAUUGCAACAAGAGUUGUUGUUCCAUAGGUCAUGUGUUGUGUCCUGCAAGUGCUGGUAGUAUGAAUAUGAGUUUGAAAUAAACAAAAUGGCAGGAAAUGGGGCUUUUCUUACACUCUCAGACCCGAAUGUGGAUGUUUCGGUUGCCCUUUCAUACGGCUCAAGGACUAAGUCAUCUCAAAGUGAUUUCUUCUCUGUUUGUUUUCCCCUCACUUCUCAAGAAGGCCUAGAGUAGCCAAGAUGCAAGUCAGGCAGCAUCCCCCUGCACUAUGGAACAUGACCUGCAGCAGGGAGAUUUGCACCCUCACCACUGUCAUCAAAAAGCUCACAAGAUAGCGAAGGCCACUGAUCAUAACUUACAGGAGGAGGCUCACUGCAUGCACCUGCUCAUGCUGAAGAUUGCUAUGAAUAAUCACUCAUAUCAGCAGUGUCAGAGGCAACUGGGGUUGUCUUGUGAUACGGAAAAAAGCAACGAGCAGAGCUGGAAGCCAGCAAGUCAGGGGACUGGGACAAGAGGAAAGUCACAUUCAAAUCUCUGCUUUUGUUAUAUGGCAUACAGUCAGCAAACAUACAAUUUCUAACAUCUUGACCUUGAAGAACCUCAGAAGCUACUUCCUCUGUGUUUGAGCUAUUUUAGGAUGCACAUAUUGAAAGGAAAAAAAGCAUUAAGUCAGCAUGCUGGGAUCUGAGCCAUGUGGCUUCCAUUAAGCACCCUACAGCCUACGGCUGCUCCUCACAGAGGAUGCAGGUGCAGUGGGAGCAUCCAAGAGCUGCAGUAGCCAUGAAAAGGACAGCCAAGGUCUCAAAACCACCAGCAGCUGCUAAAAGCCCAAAUAACAUACAUGGUUUAGCGGGA